CAUGCCGUAAACGGUGGGCGCUAGGUGUAGGGGACUUCCACGUCUUCUGUGCCGUAGCUAACGCAUUAAGCGCCCCGCCUGGGGAGUACGGCCGCAAGGCUAAAACUCAAAGGAAUUGACGGGGGCCCGCACAAGCGGCGGAGCAUGUGGAUUAAUUCGAUGCAACGCGAAGAACCUUACCUGGGCUUGACAUACACCGGACCGCUGCAGAGAUGCAGCUUCCCUUGUGGCCGGUGUACAGGUGG
rnacentral:rRNA from 1 species